AUUGAACGCUAGCGGGAUGCCUUACACAUGCAAGUCGAACGGAGUGGCGAACGGGUGAGUAAGGUAUCGGAACGUGCCCAGUAGCGGGGGAGAACUACGCGACCGCGUAGGUAAUACCGCAUCCUCUUUGAUCGGCCGAUAUCGGAUUAGCUAGGUGGUGGGGUAACGGCUCACCAAGGCGACGAUCCGUAGCUGGUUUGAGAGGACGACCUGCCACACUGGGACUGAGACACGGCCCAGACUCCUACGGGAGGCAGCAGUGGGGAAUUUUGGACAAUGGGGGAAAGCCUGACCCAGCAAUCCCGCGUGUGCGAUGAAGGCCUUCGGGUUGUAAAGCACUUUUGGCAGGAAAGCGGUACCUGAAGAAUAAGCACCGGCUAACUACGUGCCAGCCGCCACGGUAAUAC
rnacentral:rRNA from 1 species